GCCGGUAUAGCUCAGCAGGUAGAGCAACUGAUUUGUAAUCAGUAGGUCCCGGGUUCGAUUCCUGGUGCCGGCA
rnacentral:tRNA from 1 species